rnacentral:rRNA from 1 species
CCUACGGGAGGCAGCAGUGGGGAAUCUUGCGCAAUGGGCGAAAGCCUGACGCAGUAACGCCGCGUGCGGGAAGAAGGCUUUCGGGCUGUAAACCGCUUUCAGCAGGAACGAAAAUGACGGUACCUGCAGAAGAAGGAGCGGCCAACUAUGUGCCAGCAGCCGCGGUGAUACAUAGGCUUCAAGCGUUGUCCGGAUUUAUUGGGCGUAAAGAGUUCGUAGGCGGUCGAGUAAGUCGGGUGUGAAAAUUCUGGGCUCAACCCAGAGACGCCACCCGAUACUGCUUAACUUGAGUUCGAUAGGGGAGUGGGGAAUUCCUAGUGUAGCGGUGAAAUGCGCAGAUAUUAGGAGGAACACCGGUGGCGAAGGCGCCACUCUGGAUCGAUACUGACGCUGAGGACGAAAGCAUGGGUAGCAAACAGGAUUAGAUACCCUGGUAGUCCAUGCCGUAAACGGUGGGCACUAGGUGUGGGAUUCUAUUAACGAAUUCCGCGCCGUCGCUAACGCAUUAAGUGCCCCGCCUGGGGAAUCGGUCGCAAGCAAAACCUUAAAGGAAUUGACGGCUGGAGAGNGCGAGACGACGACGAGGAGAGG